UACGGGGGGAGCAAGCGUUGUUCGGAUUUACUGGGCGUAAAGGGCGCGUAGGCGGCGCAACAAGUCACUUGUGAAAUCUCCGGGCUUAACUCGGAACGGUCAAGUGAUACUGUUGUGCUAGAGUGCGGAAGGGGCAACUGGAAUUCUCGGUGUAGCGGUGAAAUGCGUAGAUAUCGUAAGGAAGACCAGUGGCGAAGGCGGGUCUCUGGACAGUUCCUGACGCUGAGGAGCGAAAGCGUGGGGAGCGAACAGG
rnacentral:rRNA from 1 species